rnacentral:rRNA from 1 species
GCUGAGGACGACAUGACCAGCCACUACGUGAACUGAAGAACACAGUUCCAGAGUCUCCGACGGAGGCAGCACAGGGGAGAUAUGCACCAAUUGGGCGCAAGCUGACGAGCAGGCCAUGCACGCGUGUGGUGAAGAAGGCCUCCGGGUGUAAAGCACUUUCCAGCCAGAAGGAAGUGGUGAGCUAAAUACGGUUCAUCAAUUGACCGUACUCGCAGAAGAAGCACCGCAUAACUCCCGUCCCAGCAGACGCGGUAAUACGGAGGGUGCAAGCCUUAAUCGGAACUACUGGCCAUCAGAAGCGCACACAGGCGAUUAGCUAAGUCAGAUGGGGAAAUCCCCGGGCUCAACCUAGGAACUGCACUUGAAACUCCCAAGCUAGAGGCUCGUAGAGAGGGGUAGAAUUCCAGCCACAGCGGUGAAAUGAGUACACGAUCCAGACGAAUACCGGUGGCGAAGGCAGCACCCUGGACGAAGACUGACGCUCAGGUGCGAAAGCGUGGGGAGCAAACAGGACUAGAUACCCUGGCAGUCCACGCCGUAAACGAUGUCGAUUUGGAAGUUGUGCCCUUAAGGCGUGGCUUCCGGAGCUAAAGCACUAAAUCGACCGCCUGAGGAGGACAGCCGCAAGGUUAAAACUCAAAUGAAUUGACGGGGGCCCGCAUCAAGCGGUGGAGCAUGUGGUUUAACUCGAUGCAACGCGAAGAACCUUACCUACGCUUAACAUCCAGAGAACUUGCCAGAGAUGCAUUGGUGCCUGCGGGAACUCUAAGACAGGUGCUGCAUGGCAGUCGUCAGAUCGUGUUGUGAAAUACUGGGUUAAGUCCCGCAACGAGCGCAACCCAGACCCUUUGUUAAGCCAGAGGUGAAAUCGCCCGGGAACUCAACCAGGAAACUGCCAGUGAUAAACUGGAGCAAGGUGGGGAUGACGUCAAGUCAUCAUGGCCCUUACGAGUAGGGCUACACACGUGCUACAAUGGCGUAUACAAAGAGAAGCGAAAUCGCGAGAGCAAGAGGACCUCAUAAAGGACGAAGUAGUCCGGAUUGGAGUCUGCAACGCGACCCCAUGAAGACGGAAUCGCUACUAAUCGCAGAUCAGAAUGCUACGGAGAAAACGUUCCCGGGCCUAGUACAAACAGCACGAAACACCACGGGAGUAGGUUGCAAAAGAAGCAGGUAGCUGUAAACUUCGGGAAGGCGCUUACCAAUUUGGAUUCCAGAUGU